GACGAACGCUGGCGGCGUGCUUAACACAUGCAAGUCGAACGGAAAGGCCCUGCUUGCAGGGUACUCGAGUGGCGAACGGGUGAGUAACACGUGGGUGAUCUGCCCUGCACUUCGGGAUAAGCUUGGGAAACUGGGUCUAAUACCGGAUAGGAGCCAUCUUUAGUGUGGUGGUUGGAAAGUUUUUUCGGUGUAGGAUGAGCUCGCGGCCUAUCAGCUUGUUGGUGGGGUAAUGGCCUACCAAGGCGGCGACGGGUAGCCGGCCUGAGAGGGUGUACGGCCACAUUGGGACUGAGAGACGGGCCAGACUCCUACGGGAGGCAGCAGUGGGGAAUAUUGCACAAUGGGCGCAAGCCUGAUGCAGCGACGCCGCGUGGGGGAUGAAGGCCUUCGGGUUGUAAACUCCUUUCGCUAGGGACGAAGCUUUUUUGUGACGGUACCUAGAUAAGAAGCACCGGCUAACUACGUG
rnacentral:rRNA from 1 species